UAUAUAGUGUUCUAAUGGUUGGAGCAUCCACCUCAGAUGUGGAAGGUUGUGGGUUCGAUCCCCAGCUGAGUCAUAC